rnacentral:lncRNA from 1 species
AAUUUAAUUUAGGAGGGACAAGGUCCUUCAAUAAGAGUUUUUAGUUAGGUAUACCUUUUUUUUAAGAUAUCCGACUAUGUGCUGAGAACAUAUUACUAUGGCUAUUGGAUAAUGAAGGUUUGGUUGGGUUAAUUUAUGUCAUUUGAGUUUUACUAAUAAUUGUACUAUGUUUAGAAAAAAAAAAUUCAAUGAGGUUGUUUUUUUUGGUAUCCUAAUCGAAUGUCAAUCUUGUAGGAUAUUGAAUCUACGGUUGUCAU